GAGCCCGUGGCUCAGCGGUUAGGGCAUUUGACUUCUAAUCAACUGGUCGUGGGUUCG
rnacentral:tRNA from 1 species